rnacentral:RNase_P_RNA from 1 species
GCAGAGGCGCGGUCUGUCGCUUGUCGUCAUUAUGUGCGGCAAGAGGAAAGUCCGGGCAACUCAGAGCAGCGUGUUUCCUAACAGGAAGCCGGGGGCGACUCCGGAGAUAAGUGACAGAAAAUAACCGCCGCAAUACCUCAACGGAUUGCGGUAAGGGUGAAAAGGCGGGGUAAAAGCCCACCGGCCCGGCUGGUGACAGUCGGGGCCGCACAUCUCACGUGUUGCAAGGCCAAAUAUACCGGCAGUCAAGGAUUGCUCGUCCAUUGCCGGGGGGUAGGCUGCUUGAACCGGCUGGCAACAGUCGGUCUGGAUAAAUGACAGACACCGCCAUGCGGCGGCACAUAACCCGGCUUAUACCGCCUCUGCUUUU